CAGAAAUAAGGAUGAAAUAACCUUGGAGAGAUUGUUGUAUGCCAAUCUGUUUGUUCUUGCUGGACCAAGAGAAAAAAUAUCAGCAAGUGAAUUUGAAGCAAUGAAAUCAUAUCUCGAGAAAGGUGGAAGUAUUCUUGUUUUACUGGGAGAGGGUGGUGAGGUACACUUUGGUACAAAUAUCAAUUUUUUACUUGAAGAUUUUGGAAUCAUGGUUAAUUGUGAUUCAGUUAUACGUACAUCUUACUAUAAAUACUUUCAUCCAAAAGAAGUGUAUAUUUCAAAUGGAGUUUU